AGGAAUAGAGUUGUUUAAAAAAUUAACAAAUUUUUAGUUUUCAAAAACAUUAUAAUUAAUAUUAUAAUAUAAGUUAAUUAAUUAUAUGUUUUUUCUUUUAAAAUUAGAAUCAACAAAUGAGAUAUAAUUGUUUUCUGGGAUUUUAAAACUUUUACAAUCUUGAUUAUAUUAUAAUAUUUUAAAUUUCUCACUUUUUUAUUAUUUCUUUCUUUUAAUAUUAAAAUUGUGUCAGAAUUUUGAACGGCUUUUAGAAAUACUUUGAACAUAUAGUUUAUGUUCAGUAUCUAAAUAAUAAACCCAUAUGAAAAUAAUAGCAACAAUAUUUCAAACAAGAAUUUAAAAGAUAAUAUUAAGAACUUUUUGUCGUAUAUCGAUUUUAACGGUUUUAUUUAUUCAAAUUAAAGAUAUUUUUCUUAUAAAUAUAGAUAAAUUUGAGUGUUUUUUCUAUCUUGUAUGUAACCUAGCCGGCUGUUUAUCGGUCGCCGGAAAUUGUACUGCCUCCGAUUUGCUCUGUUCAGGGAUGAUAUUAAUAUAUAAUAUAUAUAUAUAUAUAUUGAGAUACAAUGAUAACCGCGUGUUCUUCAAAAAAAACUACCAAAAUGAUUGUACUCUAUGCGUAAUAUAUACAUAUAUUGAACAAUUGGGGCCAUUAUCAUGAUAAUGACCAGUGACGUACACGUAAGGAUUGACAAAAUCAAUCACAUUUAAACAAACAAAAAAGUAUAAACAAAAUAAAGUUUAACAAAUAAGAGAUUUCAGAUAUCUAACUUUUCGGACCAGAUCAGAUUGUUAUCAGAUUGUUAUAGAAUCAAUCAAGGAUCCUAAUUAUUUGCCUAUCGUUACCACUAGGCCACUAGUUCUUAUCAUGAUAAUAUACUCAAUGGUUCAGUAUUUUUAUGUAUUAAACUUUACCAGUUAUAGUUCGCCUUAACUUAACUUCUCUCAUGGGCACAUUAUUCUAGGCGCCGACAACUGUUUGACUUUCUUCGAAGCCAGUAGCGAAAUGACCUUGCGUCGUCGUUGUCUAUUCUCACUUCCGCUCUCCAUCCAGUCUACCACCACUGCCAUGCUUUACUUCAUGUCAUAAUUCCUUUCCGUCAUUUUUUAUGCCACCUUUCAACUUGUUCUCCUCGUAACUAUUAUUAUCUCUUUAGUCAAAAAACUAUUAUUAUCUCGUGCGUUAUUGCUCCUCUCGUCGUCUCCGUUCUUUCUGCUUUUAUCAUCGACACAGCUCUAGCUCCCCUCAUUGUCAAUGUCGUCUCUCCAUCUCCUCUUAUUGUCACCGUCUACCUGUCUCUCCUCGUCGCCACCGUCCCUACGGCUCCACUUCUCGCUGCCGCUACUUUCAUAAUGGGCGGAUCUACUAAGCUUGUGUUUUUACUCGCCUCCACCACUCCACAUCAUCUCAGACCACGACGGCCCUUGUCGGGCCGGUUCUGUUCUCAUCAUGCUUUGGAUUUCCUCCACCUCCUCUCCGACCCUGUCACCUCUGCUGCACCUCAGCUUCUCAAACUUCUCCUCUCUGAACCAGUGUGCCUAUUGAAUCCAAGCUCAUCUACUAAGUUCCUUAAGUACAUUCCUUCUUUGACCGCUUCAACCAGCACCAUAUACUCCGCUUCAGUCGUUGACAAAGCCACUAAACUUUGUAGAUUUGGCUUGAUCUCCAGUUGAUUGUGUUCCCACCAGCCAUGAAAAAAUAACCUAAGAUCGACCUUCUCUUGUCCAGAUCCAAAGCAAAAUCAGAAUAACAGAAACCUUCAACCCUAAACACCUCAUUCUUUCUGAAGCACAAUUUCACAUCUUGUGUUCCCUUCAGGUAUCUCAAUACCCACUUAACCGCAGUCCAAUGAACCAUCCAUUGCUUACUCAAAAACAUGCUAACCAGCCCCCAACGCAUACGCCAGAUCACACCUCGUGCCUAUCAUGGCAUACAUUAUGCUUCCGAUAUAACUAGCAUAUGAAAUAUCAUCCAUACUUGUCUCUGCUUUGUCAUCAACUACAACAUACAAUUUGAAAUGUGCGCCAACAGGUGUUGACACACUCUUUGACUCAUCCAUGUUGAAUAUCCUGAGAAUCUUCCUGAUACAACCAGAUUGACAUAGUGUCAGAAUCCCCCUUUCACGAUCUCUCUCAAUAUCCAUUCCCAAAAUUCGCCUUGCUGGACCCAAAUCCUUCAUCUCAAAUCUGCUGCUGAGUAACUGCUUUACUUUCCUGAUCUCUGCCGCAUCCCUUGACGCAACCAACAUAUCAUCCACAUAUAACAACAUAUAGAUGCAUGUAUCCUUGGUUACCUCUUUGAUGUAAACACAAUGAUCAUAUUCACUCUUCAGAAAUCUAUGACUAACGACAAACUGAUCAAAACACUUGUUCCAUUGUCUUGGUGUCUGAUUUAGUCCAUAAAGAGCCUUCUGAAGUAGACAAGUGUGAUCCUUCUUUCCUUUAACCUGAAACCCCUCUGGUUGCUCCAUGUAAAUCUCUUCUUCAAGUGUACCAUGAAGAAAUGCAGUCAUUACAUCAAGUUGCUCAAGCUCCAAAUCCAGAUUACUGUAAUUGACAACAUGAACCUUAUGGUUACAUUUUUCACGACGGAUGAAGACCAUCUUGAUAAUCAAUACCCUCUCUUUGACAGUAUCCCUUAGAAACUAACCGAUCCUUGAAUCUAGGCUUCUCAACACCAGAUAUACCAGACUUCAGUUUAAAUACCCACACUUGCAGCCUAUCACCUUGCGCUCACAAGGCCUUCUCACAAGCUUCCAGGUUUGGUUCUUAUCUAGUGAAGUCAUCUCUUCACCACAUGCUUCAUCCCACUGCCUUCUCGCUUGGUUGUUCAUUGCUCCAUGAUAGCCUUGAGGUUCCUCAACACAUACGUCAUCAGCUCCAUAUAGCGCAAACGCUGAUAUAUCCUCCGAGUCUGAGUACCAUGCAUGUGGCACUAUGCUUCUCCGAACUCUAUCCCUUGCUAGCUGGUAUCCUUCAAGACUUUCACCUACUUUAUCUAUGUCAACAGCUGUCUCAGCUGUUUCGUCAACAGCUGCACCUGAAUUCUCAACUUAUGGUCCUGACGUAGAUCCUGCUGGAUCUUCCUGCACAAUCUGAUUUCUUAGCUCCUCUGUGUAAUUUGCUUUGACCUCGCAGACAUUCAAAUCCUUGUAGACCUUAUCUUUUGUAAAUACCACAUUCCUUCUUAUAACACAUUUUUUCUCUUCAAGAAGCCAAACUUUGCAUCCUUUCACACCUGAUGGAUAACUGACGAUGAUUCCCAUUUCAGCUCUUGCCUUGAGCUUUCCUUGAUCUGCAUGGAAGUAAACCACACAUCCAGGUCUUCUCAGGUGCAUAUAACCGGAGUUCUUGCCCAACCAAAGUACCUCCAAAAUGUUUCCAUUUAUGGCAGAAGCUGGACUCCUGUUUGUCACAUUCGCUGACGUAGACACCGCUUCAGCCUAGAGUUGUUCAUCUAGAACUGACUAAACCAGAAAUCAUCUCACCUUUUCCAUCAGAGUCUUGUUCAUACGUUCAGCUACAACGUUCUGAUGUGGUGUAUAUGCACAGGUCAUGUGUCUCUUGAUUCCAUGGUGCUUGUAGAUGUUGUCAAACUCUGCAUUACAAAAUUCAAGUCCAUUGUCUGUUCUAAAACAACACACCUUCUUCUUGACUUGAUUCUCCACCAACUUCUUCCAUUCACAUAAUUUGCUAAAUGCUUCUCCUUUAGCAGCUAAGAAAUAUACCCACCUUCCUUGUGUAAUCAUUGAUAAUAGACAUGAAGUAUUGCUUUCCGAACAGACUUGGCGUCACAUUUAGAGAUCCCCAUAAAUCAGCAUGUACAUACCUGAGAGCUUCACUUGUAUCAUGUCUUCCGAUGUGGAAGCUAUAUCUUGUGCUUCCCCUAUCACACAGCUCUCACAGAAAUCCAAAACUCCAAUCUUCCUCUUAUCGAUCACCCAUUUAUGGCCAGAAUCUUAAGAUUCUUCAUACUCUUUGCCCAUGCCACAAGACUGUCUCAUCCUUAGAUGGUUUCUUUAUUACAUUACUGCUUACUUCACCUGACACAGCUUCACCAUCUAGCAGGUACAAUGACCCACACAAAAGUUCCCUGAAGAGCUAGUUUUCCAUGCUCGUAAAACCUAGUCUUCCCAUGUCCACCUCUGUGCUCAAAGCCUAAAAUAUCCAAGGUUCCAGUAGUUAUCAAGUUCCUUCUUAAUUCUGGAAUAUACCUGACAAUUGUUGUUGGGGUCAAAAUCGGUCAAGGCAAAAUCAACGUCUAAAAACUUCUGAGAAAUAGCUUUCGAAAAAUACUUAUGGAAAAACUUGUGUAAAAUAAACGAAAUAGUUCAGAAAGUCUACGAAGCAAUCAACGGAGAGAAUGAGAACGAAAGAAAAGAGCCACCUUUCCCGUUAGCCAACUAGCCUGCUACAUUUGCCCGCUAGCCGACUAGGCCACUCGCCAUAUGGCGAGUUACACCACUAGCCCGCUAGCCAACUCGCCAUAUGGCUAGUUGGAGCACUACCGGCUAGCACACUCGCCAUUGGGCGAAUUGGACCGUUAGCCGGCUAGACUACUCGCCAUCAGACGAGUUAGACCACUAGUCGGCUAGACAACUCUCCAUCAGGCGAGUUGGAUCGCUAGCCGGCUAGCCAACUUGCCAUAAGGCGAGUGGGACCUAUAGCUGGCUAGCCAACUCGCCAUAUGGCUAGUUUGACCGAUAGCCGGCUAGCCAACUCGCCAUCAGCCGAAUUGGGCCGCUAGGAAGCUAGCAAACUCGCCAUCAGGCGAGUUGGACCGAUAGCUGGCUAGCCAACUUGCCACAUGGCUAGUUGAACCGCUAGCCUGCUAUUGGGGUCAAAAAUGGUUACGACGAAAUCAAUGUCAGAAACGUUUUUGAGAAACCUUUAUGGAAAUAAAAUAAAAAUACAUAAAACUAAAUUUUUUUUUUUAAAGUAUUACAAGACAAGCUCCUCGGAAAGGAUCAUUCAAUCUCUCAAAGAAACAAUUCUUUUAGGAUCUUAGAACUCUCUGCACUUAGAAACUCUAGGCAUUUUUUCGAAAUGUUAUGUUUCUAUGAUUGGCACUUGAUUACUAGUCGAACUUACCCAGGAAGUUCAAUCUCUUGUUCCACUCUCUCAAUUGAACUUACAUUCGGCAUGAUCCUCGAAAGGGGUACGUAGGCAGCCUUUCAUAAGGUUCAGUCCGAAAUCAAUCAAAACCUUUUUUCAUAUUUUUGCUUUUUGUUAUCAAGCUGCGACUCAACUAGGUUUAAGGUUUUUGGUGGCUAGAACUAGGGAACUCGCUGACAACUCUUGCGGUCGACGCUUUUAUAAUCUUUUGUAGUAAUCGCAACACUCUUACACAGAUUCAGAAUAAAGCUACUUUCCCCGUAAAUUCGUUUUGUUAUCUUUUCAUAUUCUCCGCAUUUAUUUGGUCACUUGUCAUUAGUUCUUGCAGAGAAUAUGGGACCUCAGGGAAAGUUGGAUUUCUUGGCUUUCCUCAUAUUAUGGAAAUGGACUGUGUGAAUUUCGGUUCCCACAGUUUUGUGCUAGAAGGAGGGGGGGGGGGGAGUCGGAUUACUCUAACUCACGGCCACAAAACGCUUGAUCAAAACGAUGUUUGGGAAUAUGAAAGACAAACUCGCAACACGCAAUAAUACAGGUAAAACAACUUCAGCAGUGACUGCUCCUAUGGCCAACCCUUACGCAAAUGCCACAGUUCUUGAGAAAAUCGAAAACCUAGUCACGACUCUUCACCAUAGGAAGAACAACAAAACGAGCUCGCGAUUUCUCUGUAUAAUUAAAAAGGGUAACAAUAAAUUUUAUCAAACCCUGUAAGAUUCGUCUCAUUACCGAGCUAAAGAAAUCCCAACGCGUAAGGGUUUACCAAAAUACGUUUUCUGAAAACUUUCGGAAAAUAUAAAACUUGCUCUCCCCGAAACCGCGGAAAAAUCCUAGAUUACUCGCGGAAAAAGAUACCAUAGAAAAUCAGGUACACAACUCACCGCUGAACUUCUUCCAAAUAACUUUCGGAAAAAUUUUAGAUUACUCAUGGAAAUAGGAAGCACAUCCAAUCGGUUACACAAUCCCCCACCGCUGUACUUCUUCCGUAUAACUUUCAGAGAAACGAAGUUGAUUACUAUAAAAUCACUCAAAACCUAAAACGGCUGACAAAGACAAACAAAGCAAAACGAGAGAUCAUAAGAUUUUGACUCACCGCUAAAACAUUAUCUGAAACCUAAGAUUUUGUAAAAAAUCAAGUGUCGCUUCAAUAGUAACAUAUUCCGCGAAUUGUCGAUGUUUGCCACCUAAUUCUUAAUUCGGAAAAAACUACUCAAAACUUCCACGGAACAAUCCCACAAAAACGAGAAAAAUUUCUAAUUAAUUUGGUCGUGAUGCAUCAGUGUAUUCGGUGUAAGGUAUUCCUGGAGUAGGUAAUGCGAGAAUAGGUUGCUGUCGUCAAAGCUUCCUUUAAUUGUGUAAAAGCCUUUUCCUCUUAUCCCAUCCAAAUGAUAUAUCUUUCCCAGUCAUCCUCGUCAAGGGUUUGGCCAUGAUGGAAAAAUUUCUCACAAAAUUUUGAUAACACCCAGCCAAUCCUAGAAAGCUUCGAACCUCGGUAGCGCUGGUAGGGCGUGUCCAAUCCUUAACUACUUCAACCUUUUCAGGAUCUACUGCAACACCCUUCUCUGACACUCGAUGACCAAGGAAUCCAAUCUCCAUUUUCCAGAAACUACAUUUAUUAAACUUGGCGAAUAACUUACAAAACUGCAUGUUCCUCUUUACUUUUGGAAUAAAUAAGUAUCAUCAAUGAAGAUGAUUACAAAUUUAUCCAAGUAAUAACAAAAUAAAUCAUUCAUCAAGCGCAUGAAAGCAACUGACACAUUUGUAAGACCAAAAGGCAUUACCACAAAUUCAUAGUGGCCAUACGGGUCCUAAAAGUCGUUCUCAUGAUAUCGGACUCUGAUAUAGGGAUUUGAUGGUAUCCUGAUGCCAAAUAUAUCUUUAAGAACCAGCUUGCCUCAUGAAGCUGAUCCAACAAUUCAUCGAUCCUUGGCAAGUGAUACUUGUCCUUUACUGUAACAUUGUUAAUCCCAAUAUAAUUGAUGCAUAACCGCAUGGUGUCGUCUUUCUUCUUCACAAAUAAGACUAGUGUUUCCCAUGGUGAAGAACUCGGUCUAAUAAAUCCUUUAUUUAUCAAAUCCUCCAACUGCUUUUUAAUUCAGCAAGCUCAGCUGGAGCCAUUCGAUAAGGUGCCUUCGCUAUUGGGGCUGCUCCCGGCUCUAAUGUAAUGGUGAAAGGAUCACUUCGUGGUGGGGGAAAUCCUUCCAUUGGCUGCAAUACAUCCUGGUAUUGUUUUACUACUGGUAUCUCUUCCAACUACGUCCCUUCUUUCAGGUCUCCACCAAGGGUAGUCAGAGUUACCAAAUAUACCUCGCCCUUGAUCAAAUCCUUCUUAACUCAUAACGCAAAUACAAGUGAUACUCCAGAACUUGGACAUAUCCCAUAGUAUAUCGUUGAUGGUUGUCCUCUUUCUUCAAGUGUAAUUCUUCCUCGACCACAAUCCAACUGCAUGUAGUAUCUCGACAGCCAGUCACUUCAUGUUGUCCUGAAGGAACAACUAGCAGGUAUGCCGGAUAUACCAUUGAUCCCACAUGGAUUGGAAUCCCAAGUACACAACUAUCGGCAUGAGGGUUAUGGUUCCUAGGGGUUCUAAUCGAAACACCUACAUUUACUCUAGUAAGGGUUCCCUUAAAACUAGACCCACUUGCAGCCUAAACAGACUUAGCCAUCAGACAUCCGACAGAAGGAUAAUAACGCUAUAAAAUAAACAUGAAAUUUUGGUCAACUCUUCCUCAACUUAGAAAUUGUUGUUGGAGAGAUGCUCGAUUCCUACCAGACAAGUCGUAUAAGCCGAGAACCUAUCGCGGACUAUAAAUCGGUACAAAUCAGGUUGAAGUCGCAUACGGGACACGUAAACCGAAGUAGUCAUCACACACCCUAAAACUGAUGGUAAACCUAGGUCUUAUCCUAAACCCAGCACACUGGUCUCUAGCAUCUCAGGGCAUGGUAUCUAACGAUACGAGAUCCUAUAAGUUGUCUUUUCCUAUAUUUCAACGUUCACAAAUCUUUGCAAAAUUAGAUUUUUCGAAUUUGCCUAAAACGAACAACGAAUACGACGAUCUAGCAAAGAGUUAGAAUAUGAGAUGAAAACUCAUAAUCUUCCCUCUACAUUCACACGAAUACAAACAUGCUCUUAAAACACGAAACUCAAUUCAUUAAAAAGAAGCUGCAAAGAGGCAGGGAUUCAAAGCGGCCACACUCGAGCAAAGCAAACAGCCAACAAGGCUACUCUCGAGGCCGAUAAAGGUCCAAUACACAAUGCCAUCGGCAGAAACAUGCCCGAUAGUCUCUAGAUGAUACACAACUAGACAGUAAAGUUCUCACAGGAAAACAGGUCAUAAGAACCUUAACUCUAGGACGAACUACGAAAGGCUUGAUCCCUUCGACAAGGGUACAUAGGCAGCCUUCAUAAGGCGCAGCCCCAAUCAUCUCACAUUCCAUUCUCAUGAGUAAGCCAACCACUAAUUCCAACGGAACUUCUUAGCCGUUGAUUCCACCUAAUACGCCUAUCACUACCUCGCAAGAGAUUAAACGUAAAAUCUUACGAGCUGGGGGGCUAACUGUUGGGGUCAAAAUCGGUCAUGGCAAAAUAGACGUCUAAGAACUUCUGAGAAAUAGCUUUCAGAAAAUACCUACAGAAAAACUUAAAACAAAUUAAAUAGUUCUGAAAGUCUACGAAGCAAUCAAUAAGAGAGAAUCAGAACGGAAGAAAAGAGCCAUCUAGCCAACGAGCGCAUUCGCCCGCUAGCCGGCUAGGCUGCUCGUCAUCUGGCGAGUUGGACCACUAGUCUGCUAGCCAACUCGCCAUAUGGCUAGCUGGACCACUAGCCGACAAGCAAACUCGCCAUCGGGCGAAUUGGACGGUUAGUCAGCUAUCCAACUCGCCAUCAGACGAGUAGGACUGCUAGUCGGCUAGCAACCUUGCCAUAAAGCGAGUUAGACCGAUAGCUGGCUAUGGCUAGUUGGACCGCUAGCACGCUGUUGGGGUCAAAAAAUGAUUAUGACGAAAUUAAUGUCGGAAACUUCCCGAGAAACCUUUCUAAAAAGAAAAUAAAAAUACAGAACACUAAAACUUUGUAGUUUAAGUGUAUUACAAGAGAAACUUCUCGGAAAGGAUCAAUCAAUUUCUCGAAGAAACGAUUCUUUUAGGAUCUUAGAACUCUCUGCACUUAGAAACACUAGGCAUUUUUCUCGACAUGUUAUGUUUCUAUGAUUGGCACUCGAUUACUAGACAACCUCGCCCACCCAGUUCGAUUUCUUGUUCCAUUCUUUCAAUUGAACUACGUUUGGCUUGAUCUUCGAAAGGGGUAUGUAGGCAGCCUUUCAUAAGGUUCAGUCCGAAAUCAAUCAAAACCUUUUUCAUAUAUUUUUCUUUUGUUGUUAUCGAGCUGUGACUCAACUAGGUUUAAGGUUUUUGGUGGCUAGAACUAGGGAACUCGCUGACAGCUCUUGCGGCCGAAGCUUUUAUAAUCUUUUGUAAUAAUCGCAACGCUCUUACACAGAUUCGAAAUAAAGAUAUACUUUCCCCGUAAAUUCGUUUUGAUAUCUUUUCAUAUUUUCCGCAUUUAUUUGGUCACUUGUCGUUGGUUCUCGCAGAGAAUCCAGGACCUUGGGGAAGUUAGGGUUUUCUGGCUUUCUUCCAAUUAUGGUAAUCGAUGGUGUGAAUUUUUGUUCCCACAUUCGUGAGUGUCUUCACACAACCACCAUAAGAUUUGAUGUUUAUUGUACCAAUCCCUUGCACUCCAACCGUACAAUCAUUACCAAGAAGAACUUGCCCCGAAGUUAGCUCUUAGAACGUGUGAAACCAAUCCCUCCAACACAUCAGGUGGUAGGAAUAUCCAUAAUCAAUUACCAACUUAUCAUGAUGCCACCUAUCUGAAACCGACAGUGCAUCAUCCUCUGAAUCAGUAUCUAUCACAACGGCUGCUUCCGCUUCGUCUUCUCCUCUGUCAUAUUUCUUCUUGUAUGCAUAACACUCCCUCUUGGUAUCCCUUCUUCUUUCAAAACCAGCAAGAUAUUCUAGACCCUGAGCUUGAUCUAGAAUUUCCCUUAUCAUUCCUCACUGGAUCUUUCUUGUCAGUCCUUCCUCUAGCAUAAUAUCCUUCACCAUUAUCAUGUGAAGCCGUAGAGGUCUUGAGAUCUUAAUCUUUAGACCUUUCUGCACUUGUCACCCCUUCCAAUGAGAAUGUAUCUUUGGCGUAUCUUUAAACCGUGAAGGAAGCGGAUUCAGAAGCACUCUCUCUCUCUCUCUCUCUCUCUCUCUCUCUCUCUCUCUCUCUCUCUCUCUCUCUCUCUCUCUCUCUCUCUCUCUCUCUCUCUCUCUCUCUCUCUCUCUCUCUCUCUCUCUCUCUCCCUCUCUCUCUUUCAUAAGCUUACAAUAGGCUUACUUAGACAAGAGAGAAGAGAACAGACAAGCUACUCUUCCAUAAACCAUAUUCAAUUAACAUAUUGGAUUAGGGCAUUCGCCCCUUUCCAUAAACCUAAUAGGAAUAUUUACAAAUACUUCCAAAUUCUAUAAACCAUGAAAGCAAUAUUUCCAGGAUCCUAUCAACUUCCAUAACUCCAUAAAAGUGAUAUUUCUAUUUCCUAAUUUGACGUCCUUAUCUUGGUUUAAGUUAUGCGAUCUUGGUUGAUUUCCAUCACCAAAUCCCGACGAAGUCUCUGACGGAUUCCUUGACGUAGUCUCUGAUGCAGUCUUUGACGAAUCCCAACAAACUCCUACUUGAUGACAUCAAAAACGAUCCAUUACUUAGGUUAAGCAAACCCAUGCUUUUGUCGAAUGACACCGAUGCUCUCGGUCAUCCCAAGGAAAUUUAGAGCUUCCUCAAACUUCCUAACAUGAACCACCUUGGUUAAAAUAUCAGCAGGAACUUGAAACCCAAAAUUGAAACCCAAGUUGAAUUGAAAUAAAAACCCAAAUAUAAAACCCAAAUCCAAAUCCUAACGGUGCUUUGAUAUGUAACUCUUUCCUUAUGAAAAAAUUAGGUAGAUCCAUUGCUUACUUGGCAUUAACUUUUUUCUUUCCGGGAACAUUCAACACAGUUUUAAUAUGAUUAUCAAAUAAAUUUUUCUCAACCUGUAUGAAGUCCAAGUUGUGGGGAAGACGAAGGUUCAUAUAAUACAGAAAGGUUCCCCAAUUGUGAUAUUUGCCUUAAUCAUAUAUACUACGAGAAAGGUUCUUGUGUCCAUUUCCUCCACGAUCGGCUGUUCUGUGCACUCUUUCAAUGUUGUUUAUUAUUUCAGUGAGGAUUUCCUCACUACUGUCAACCGUAGUAAAGGAGAAUCAGUUAUUUUAUUCCUUAUCUAAACGCUUGUACAUGUUGCCUGUAGAGAUAACCCAUAGGCAGAACUGUUCAAUGAUUGUCAAAGAAACUAUGUAUUCUUCCAUGUUGUAACCAAAAUGACUUCAUAUCAUAUAAACUAUAUGGACAAGUUAAAAGACCUUGAGUCAUCCAACCUGACAUCAUGUCAUAACCUGGAAAGUCAUUAAUUGUCCAAAAUAAUGUGGCAGGGAUUGUGAAUUUUUGCUUCUUCGGAAUAUCAUAUGCUUUUACCCUAUCACUCCAUAAACUUUGCAAUUAUUCAAUUAACGGCUGAGGAUUAUUUUCAAUGAUCUUCUUUGGAUGUCUUGGACUGGAAACUAGUACUCAUAAAAAUAAAUAUUUUGUUUUAUACAUAUACCGGGAGGUGAGUUAUAUGGCGUUAAAAUUACGGGUCAGACCUAGUGUUUCACCAUCUAUACCAACUGGAUUAAAUCCAUAUGUUGAUAAUCUUAGAUAUGGUGUGUGGCUGGUCUACGGUGUGUUUCAACUUUUUGCAGCAAAAUUAGGAUAUACCUUGUAAAAAUGCUUCUAUGUUGCUUAGUCAGAAAGGUGAUGUAUUUAUCCUUCAUGAAAGACAUAUUUUGUAUGCCAUCACAAAUGUGAUGCAGUUUCCUAGUUGAUGCUACAACCUCUCCAUAAUAGGUAUAUAAAACAUUCUUUGUUGUAGAAGACUUUUUUCCCUUCCUAUGCUUCUUGUGAUGUCUAUUUUUUCCACAAAACCGACACACUAACAGCUGAUGACUUUCCUUAAAACAACAUGUGAUUAUCCUAACAAAUAUCAAUCUUGAUAACCUGGAGACAAAGCGCCUUCAUCAACUUAUUUGUCUCAUAAUAUGACGCAUAAGCUUUAUUUUGUUGUGGCAAAACAUCUUUAAAAGUUUAUGAUAUCUCAUCCAGACAUGACUCCCCCAAAUUAUGAUCGGUUCUUACUUUCAUUAAAUGUGAAGGCGAGUAUAAUUGAGUAAUUCCUUCAAUACAUCCAUCAUAGAGUGGUUGAUUGGUGGCUUCAAAAGUUUGAAACCUUCGAUCUUUAUAUUCCUCAUCAUUAGGUACUUUCAUUGCAUUCUCCAAUUUAUGGAUUGACCCAAUGUCUCCUCCCAUAUUGACAUUUAUGUUUUGCUGAUAUGACUCUUCUUUAGCAUACUGUGUUUCUUCUCUUAUAAAUUGACCAGCCGUUAAUGAUUCUCAGGCCCGGCUCAACCUGGACCCUUGGAUAAAUUUAAUUUAUAUGCAAUAUAAUUGAUUAUAUAUAAUAUUUUGGGCCCGUAUUGCAAAAAUACAACAAAAAUUUGGGCCUUUUUUAUCAUUAAAUUUAUUUGUUUUAAAAGUGGGUCCUGGACGUGUGCCCCACUUGCCUACCCCUAGAGCCGGCACUGAUGAUUCUCCAACAUCAUAGUAAUUUUCUCCACAGCUUGACAAUAUAAUAAUUAUCCUUGAAGCCGAAUCAGUUGAUGAGUCUCAAAGAUGUUCUUGCAUCACAUUUCUUUUGGUUUUGACAUCUUCCACAAGGACAUAACAUGGGUUUCCUCUGAUUGAAGAAUUUUUAUUAGAAGCAAAUGUGAUAAAUUCUUCAACACCUUCCAUAAACUCUCUUUAAACAUAAUUAUGGAUAGGAUCAAAAUGUAUCGAUCCAUCCACUCUCUUGCUUAAAAUUUAUUAGACACUGAAUUCUCAAAUUCAUUUCUCUCAAGUUUACGUUUCAAGCUUCUUACAAUACGAGAGUGAAGGCUUGUUUGAUUUUAUAGAAAAUAGUUUCCAGGUUUUUCCUAUGAUUCUUGCCACGAUUUUUGUCAAGUUUGCCUCGAAAAUUGCUAAGAAUUUGGAAAAUUGUGUGAGAUAACUAUAAAACAAAAUUACUAACUAACUAAAAUCACACCCUCUCUCUUUUUUUCUUUUCUUAUCUCUCUAGCAUCUUAGCUAUUUCACAAUUAAAUCCAUACGAAUUUUGUGACGAGUGUUUACAUGAAUUUGUUUUUAAUAUAUCACACCUUUCCCUGCCCUUCUUCUGUCGGAUGGGAUGGCACUAUGGAUACUUACCACAAAUUUUGCUAUGAAAUGUAUUUAUGUAUUUUUUUAUUUUUUACUAUCGUCAGUACCCGAAAUGAUUGGUGGGACGUUUUUUCGUGGACUAGCCAAGAAAUUGCCAUGAUUAAACUUAACAUUAUUUAUUGCAAAAAGUUUUAGCCACGAUUAAACUAUAGAAAACUGUUGCUAAAGUUCCCACGAAUUGCUAUGUUAUAUUGCAAUGCAAUUUUGCCACGGUAAUUUUUGUGGCAACAUCGUUACUAUUGUUUUCACAGUUUAAUUCGUAGAAAAUUCACGCUUUUUACAAAAAAAAAAGUCACAUAGAUUUCCAUGUUUCUUGUUUUGUGUUUUUUUUUUUGAAACACAAACAUUCAUUACCAUUAAUAGAGUUAGGUGACAUUCAAAGCAUACAAUACUUGUUCAUCAGCUAGGCAUAGCUUAGCCAACAGAUCGGCAUCUUUGUUUUUCUCUCUAGAUAUCCAUCUAAAAGACACAAAUUCAAUAGCAAGAACUAGAUCGUUGAUAUCAGCGACAAUGCCAUAGAGCUCCAUAUGCAAGACCUUCUUCUGCAGCGCCUGCACCAAUUGCAUCGAGUCAGAUUCACACCUUAUCCUUUCAAUCUUCAGAUCCCUACACUUUUGGAGAGCAGCUCUCAGAGCCAGGCCCUCUGCAAUCAAGGGAGUUCUGACAAAUUCUGCAGAGGUGGAGAAGUUUCUUAUCCGGCCUUUCAUACUUUUCUCAUUUUGUGGUUAUUCUGGCAACUUCAUGCCUUUUUAUUUUAGCACGAAAUUUUUGUGGAUAUAAAAGAUAUUAAUCUCAGUUAGGAAAGAUAUUACUUUCUUCUGAAAGAAAAUAUGAACAAACAAUUGGGGGGGGGGGGGGGGGGUAUAUAAUGAUUGAACAUCAACUACAACAACAGUUCUUGCGAUCUAUCCAUGGAAAUAUAAUCACUUGAGAAGUUUUAAAAACUAUAGAACGAAGAAGAAACUAGAUCUCAAUUUAGAUCGAAAAGAAUAUUUAUAAAAAAAGAUGUUUUUUUCUCUAAAAAAUACGAGAUAAUAAGAAUUGUUGUUACUAAAUAUGCAGUGUAUUAAAUUAUAUUCUGAUUUUGCCUAUGUCAACACUGAAAUAUUUUGAAAUCUAUAGAAUUUACUAAAAUAAUUAAAGCAUAUUAUUAAAUUAUCGAAAUAAUAAAUUAAAUAUUACAUAAAAUAAAUUAAAUAGAAUUAGCAAACAGAAAAAAUAAGUUUAUUUUUGCAAAAUUUUAGAUAUUGAAAAUUACUUCAACAUUGGAUAAAUAUAAUAUAGUGUCGGUAAUAUUUUAAUAUUUAAACUAUUUUAAUUUAUUAUAUGAAUAAUUUGUAUAUUUAAAAUUAUAUUUAAAAAGGAUUCAAAUCGGAUUUGGAUUUUUUAAUAUUUUAAAUCAACUGAACAAAUGAGACCAAUGUCUGAACUUUUUGAAUCGGAUUAACUGAUAACGGAUCGGAUCAUAGAUCAAAAAUAUUUUGUCCAUCCUUACAACUACGGGCACUAGGUGCUAUCAUGAUAACGAAUUUACCAAAAAAAAAUAAUAUCUUCUCCAAAGAUAAUUCCAGAGAAAAGGAACGACCACAAAUUGGGUAUAUGGUGGAUAAGUAUCAGAUGAUUAAAUUGUGAGAAUCGAUACCAAGUCCUAGUUGUUCAAUAAUUGUAUGUCUUGUGGAUACAUAACAAAAUCAUUUUGGCAGUUUUCAGGAACAUGUGAUUACGUUUCUUUUUCUCCUAGCUCAGCAUGUGAGUAAGUUGUGAGGAAGUCAGGGAUUCCUUUCUUCAUUUUUAUAAUAAUAUUAUAAAAAUAUUUUUGACUCCAAAAACUAUUCUAUUUUGCAAACAAGAUGUUAUCUACAAAUUCAGACCGGACUAGAGAACACAAACGAAAACAAACAAAUCCAACACGACCCAAAACUAGAAAGCUCAAAUCCAGACUCGUGAUAUUCAGAUGGUGAGACGAAAGGAAGAAAGAGAAAUAGAAUGGAGAAGUUUGGUCAGAAUGGACAUGCAGAGCCGUGCUUGAAUAGACGCACAUAAAGCAUGUGGAUCAGGGGGACAUUAUUUUCUUAUAGGACAUAACCCACCUUUUUUAUUCUCUUACAACCUAACAUCUUUUGCAUGAUCCCAAUGAAAGAAAUUAAGUACCUUAAUGAAUGGAUGAUCUACACCAUUGGAUCAAAACAAAAUGAGCCACACGAUUUUUCCUUCCUCUCUCUCCUCCUUACGCGGGACCCACCCUUCUUCUUCCUUUCUUCAAUUAACGUAACAACCACCAUUCUUUCUCACUUCAAUUCUUCACCAAACAAUAUCUCUUUUGAGAGAUUGGACGAAGAACAGAAAAGAACAGCAUAAACAUCCACAACAAAUCGUGUAUCUUCCUCCAUAGAUGAAUUUGGGUAACUAUGGAUAACAACAGAUGUGUGGUGAUAUAUUUUGAUCAAGGGGGUAGUUAUUCAAAUGUGGGAGAUGAAAUUCGAUGGAAGCAGAAAGACCGACAUAUUUCUACUUUAGUGUUUACGAUGAGAAGUGACGAGGAGGUGACUUACUCUCAGUUGGUUGAUAGAGUAUGCAGGAAAAUGAAGAUUGAUGUAGCUUCGCCCAAGAUUCAGCUGAGUUACUUUCCGUUUGGAAUGGAUGAUAAGAGGCCAUGUUACAUCUUCGAUGAUGAAGAUGUUUUAGGAUAUUUAUUGGAAGUCGAAAAAAAUCAGAGCCGUACUGUCUUGCACGUGGAACUCAUAGAAUCUGUCUCACAAAACCAAAGUAAAGAGAUUUUUUCUAGGAAUGAGGAAAUUAUUAGUGAUGCAAGAGCUAAUGAUGAUAUGGUUGGUCUUAAGGAGUUGACGACUAUUCCUCAUAUUCAAGAGGAUGAGAAUGAGAAAGCCGAUAAAGUGGGUACUGAAACAAAUGAUAUGGAGAAGUUGGCGGUUGUUACACCAGCUGAAACACCAGUUGUACAUUUCAAGUGGGAUGACGGUAUUGACAUGGCUUUGCACCAAGAAUUUGAAACUAAGCAUUAAGUGAGAGAUUUAGUGGACAAAGCUGUGCAUAAGAAUUGUUUUGAGGUUGAUAUAGUGAAGUCGAUGCCUCGACUUUACAUAUUUUUACUUUACUGUUUACGAUGAGAAGUGAUGAGGAGGUGACUUACUGUGGGAACCGAAAUUCGCACUGUCGAUUUCCGUUUAAAUAAGAAAACUAGGAAAACCCUAAUUUCCCA